rnacentral:lncRNA from 1 species
CACCCAGUAACCAGUUACUGACACCCAGUAACCAGUUACUGACACCCAGUAACCAGUUACUGACCUGGUUACUGAUCCACAAUAAUCAGUUACUGACCCCUAAUAACUUGGUUACUAACCCCCAAUAAUCAGUUACUGACCCCCAGUAACUUGGUUACUGACCCCAGUAAUCAAUGACAAACAUCCGAUAAUCAUUAUUGGCAUUCAAUAAUCAAGUUACUGAAACUCAGUAAUCAAUUAUUGACUAUCAGUAAUCAAUUACUGACUACCAGUAAUCAAUUACUACCCCUCAAUUAUCAGUCAAAACAUAGAAAAAAGAAGAAGGUAGAAGAAGAAUAAGAAGAAGGUAAAUACUGACUUUAAUUUCAAUGAAAGUAUUGAUAAAUAACAGUGAAGUCAAAAUGAGAAUACAAGUUAACACCAAUCCAAGCUUCUCUGGUGAUUUGCCGGCCACGAUCGAUCUGAGGUUGGCGAUCAAAGAAAGAGAGAUGAGAGGUGAUAAUUUGAAACCGAUGGAGUAUAUAGGCGCUACACAUCUUGAUCUUCAUCAGCUAGCUUCAGGCGAGAGAGCGACUAGGCUUAGACAAGCGACGAGCGCCGAACGGUGAAUGGCGACUGACAAGCACCGAACAGCGACCGACGAGCGCCGAACAUCGACCAACGAGCGCCAAACGGCGACCGACGAGUGUCGAACAGCGACCAACGAGCGCCUAGGCCGAGCACCAAGAGACGAGCGGUGACCGAUGAGCGUCGAGAGACGAGCGGCCACCGAUGAGCGGCGUGCGGCGAAGCCUCGAUCUCCGGCAAUUCUUGUCUUCCGAGGCGGCAGCAUCUUCGGUGAGGACUUGAGAAGACAUCUCUGCAACAAGAGAGAGAAAGAGGUAGAAAAAAAGAAGAAGAAGAAUUCAGAUCGGGAAACUGGGAAAGGAGAGAGAGAGAGGGUUAGUUGAAUAGAAGGGAGGAUAAUUUGUCUUUUACUUAAGUUUCAUUGGGAUGGGCUUAUGAAUUAGAUUUUCAUUAAAUCGGGUUCUAGUUUGCUGUUUUGUGUAAAUGGGCAUUUUCCCUAUAUAAAAGGGAUAGGGGGGAUUACUGUUCAAGGAACAGUGUCAUCCCGAAAC